UACGUAGGGGGCAAGCGUUGUCCGGAUUCACUGGGCGUAAAGCGUGCGCAGGCGGUUUUGUAAGUUUGUCGUGAAAGCCCCGGGCUCAACCUGGGAAUUGCGAUGGAGACUGCAAGGCUAGAAUCUGGCAGAGGGGGGUAGAAUUCCACGUGUAGCAGUGAAAUGCGUAGAGAUGUGGAGGAACACCGAUGGCGAAGGCAGCCCCCUGGGUCAAGAUUGACGCUCAUGCACGAAAGCGUGGGGAGCAAACAGG
rnacentral:rRNA from 1 species